rnacentral:lncRNA from 1 species
CAUCACCCAAGCGCGUAGGCGCGCUCCGUGUCGCUCCAUUUUCAGGCCGCUAGACCGAGGCUCGCGGUUUUUCGGUUCGAUCGAGUUCCGACCCCAGCGGUGCUGUGUUUUGUUGCCUCUGGACCUUGGUUUUCUAUUUCUAUCUCAGUCGCCUUUUGAUGUCCCGAUCGAGUUAUCAUUUGCCUUCCAGUCGAUGCCCG